AUAUUGGGCAAUGCCCGCAAGGGUGACCCAGCAACGCCGCGUGGAGGAUGAAUGUCGUAAGAUUGUAAACUCCUGUUAGAGGGGAAGAAUAGUACCGGUUGGACCGGUAUAUGACUGUACCCUCAGAGAAAGCCCCGGCUAACUACGUGCCAGCAGCCGCGGUAAUACGUAGGGGGCAAGCGUUGUCCGGUUUUACUGGGUGUAAUGGGCGCGCAGGCGGGAUAAAAAGUCAGUGGUGAAAUCCUACAGCUUAACUGUAGAACUGACUUUGAGACUUUUAUUCUGGAGUUCGGGAGAGUGAUGGAAAUCAAGGUGUGGUGGGGAAAUACGUAGAUAUAUGGAAGAAAACCAGUUGCGAAGGAGGUCUCUUGGUCCGACACUGACGCUGAGGGGCGAAAGCGUGGGG
rnacentral:rRNA from 1 species